CGGGGAAUUUUGGUCAACGGGGGAAACCCUGAUCCAGCCAUCCCGCGUGUGCGAUGAAGGCCUUCGGGUUGUAAAGCACUUUUGGCAGGAAAGAAACGUCAUGGGUUAAUACCCCGUGAAACUGACGGUACCUGCAGAAUAAGCACCGGCUAACUACGUGCCAGCAGCCGCGGUAAUACGUAGGGUGCAAGCGUUAAUCGGAAUUACUGGGCGUAAAGCGUGCGCAGGCGGUUCGGAAAGAAAGAUGUGAAAUCCCAGAGCUCAACUUUGGAACUGCAUUUUUAGCUACCGGGCUAGAGUGUGUCAGAGGGAGGUAGAAUUCCGCUUGUAGCAGUGAAAUGCGUAGAUAUGCGGAGGAACACCGAUGGCGAAGGCAGCCUCCUGGGUUAACACUGACGCUCAUGCACGAAAGCGUGGGGAGCAAACAGG
rnacentral:rRNA from 1 species